ACAGCUAUAUCACGUUGAAACACCGGUACCCGUACGAUCACCGAAGUUAAGCAAUGUUGAGCCUUGUCAGUACCUAGAUGGGUGACCGCUUGAAAAUAUCAGGGGCUGUCAG
rnacentral:rRNA from 1 species